GUAGGUGGCAAGCGUUGUCCGGAAUUAUUGGGCGUAAAGCGCGCGCAGGCGGUCCUUUAAGUCUGAUGUGAAAGCCCACGGCUCAACCGUGGAGGGUCAUUGGAAACUGGGGGACUUGAGUACAGAAGAGGAAAGCGGAAUUCCAAGUGUAGCGGUGAAAUGCGUAGAGAUUUGGAGGAACACCAGUGGCGAAGGCGGCUUUCUGGUCUGUAACUGACGCUGAGGCGCGAAAGCGUGGGGAGCAAACAGGAUUAGAUACCCUGGUAGUCCACGCCGUAAACGAUGAGUGCUAAGUGUUAGGGGGUUUCCCGCCCCCCUUAGUGCUGCAGCUAACGCAUUAAGCACUCCGCCGUGGGGGGUUACGGCCGCAAGGCUG
rnacentral:rRNA from 1 species